AUCUGUAUUGCUAGAAAAGCAUUUUACAUUAAAUUUUAACACAGUUUACCAGGAUAAUGAAACUUACAGACAUUACAUGACUGUUUCUUACAUAUUCCCACCCACUUUAAGAUUGGCAGUCCCUGCCAAUGACUGAAUAUCCAGAGGGCUGUACUCUUAUACGUAGAGUGGUAAUGUACCGUUGUAUGGCAGGCCAAAUAAACUCAUCCUGCGCAUACCGAACAGGGGGAGUGCCAGCAUUUUGUCUAGUGGUGCGUCUGAGAACCACUGGUAUACUCUGGGGUGCUGUAGC